AGAGGGCUAAAUUAUUUCUUUUUUUGUGCUGCAUUCUUAUAGCUCGCUUGAAACAAGCUUCAAAAAAGUUUGGAGGGGAUGAGAAGCAGCGAAAGAUUCGUUUGAUUGUUGAUGAGAACAGUGGGGGUUUUCCAAAUGCAAAGAAUAAUGGAAUGACCAAUACAUGUUGUGAAAGCAAGCGCGAAAUGAAAGCUCCAAGUUUGGUUGCUAGGCUCAUGGGCUUGGAAUCGAUGCCAGCAGGAUCAGGCUUUCUGAAACUUGGAGCAAUGUGGCAGACAAACUUGGUGCUCGACCUGGCAGAUCUGAUAAAGAAGAUAUGGAUUUUGAGAUGGCCUAAAUAAAGAGUUUAGAACCGGGUUUGCAAAGGUUUAGAGCUAAAUGUGCUCUCACUUAUCCUACUAGAUAUUUUUCUCCUUUGGAAGAUGAAACAGAUUUAGCACCUUAUCAUUUGGAAAGCCCUAAUCCAUGUGUGGAUUCAAAGAUUUUGAAAGGAACAUCUGUGCCUUCAUGUAAAAAUUGUGGUUAUUUUCUUCAUAGUAAGAACGGUACACCAAAUGUGGAAGAAUACUCAUCGUCUGUCUCGUCACCUGUCUCUAGUGACUUUGGACCUCCUUGUGAAGGUCCAGGAAGAAAUAUGCCAAGGUUGCCCAUUUUCAGCAGUAGGGAUCAACUAGAGAGAGUUUCUGAGGGUUCGUCCUCAGACGCCACUGCUGAAAUUGAUGAUGUAUCAUACUGUGCAAAACCCAUAUUAGGUGAAAGAUCUACUAGCAGAACUCGAAUGGAGAUACAUGGCACCCGCCAAGGGAACGAUGUGAAGAAUGAUGCAUCAUCUGUCACUCAUGUGGUUAAUCAGAAGCAAAAUCAAACAGCUCAGAAUAGAGAGAGGGAUCUUAUGAAGUCUAAGCAAAGUAGUUUGUAGAGCAACAUAGUUUUAGCAGCUGCAGAAUCUAUGAAUAAUACCCAAAAUUUUGUUGCACAGAAUAAAAGGCCUAGAAGGAAAGAAGAUUUGUGUGAUGAUGGUGAUGUAUCUUCUAGAAAUAUUUGCAUGAAUUUCCAGCCAUACCAGAUUCAGCAGCAACAGAUUUAGUUGGGAAUUCACUUGAUCACCAUAGUUCAGGAUGUGUUCUUGAAGCUGCCUUUUCAACUGAUAGCUACCUCUCCAGCAGUCCUAAUAGUAGCUCAAAAGACAAAGUUCUUGCUGAAUCAAUGGACUCUAUUGAUGAUAAACGACUCUUUCCAGAACCUGAUAGAGAUAUUUCGGAUUGUGAGACCUCAUUAUCCACCAGGAGGAGUUGCA